UGGGUUUUGAGUGCUGUUGAUAACCGUCUCUGAAGACGUAUGGAUCUCCCGAUGUUGCAGUAAGGUGCGGAGAGGCUUCUGGAGUAGGACUACACACAGUCGUCGACGAUACAGUCUCUGAAAGAUUGCAGUUGACAAAGUCGGGAGAUGCUAAGUUUAGGUGACGUUGCAGUGAGCUGUGGAUAGGCUGUCGGAGUAGUACUACACAUAGAGUUGUUGACGGUACAACCUUUGAGUUUAAAUGAACGUAUGUCUCGCGAAGCUUAAAUGUGGGAGAGAGUGGGCUAAGGGGUAGGAGACCCCAAGACUUAAAACACAUUUGCUUCUGAAAUUAGGUCAAAGCCCAAAACAUCAAGUAAAGCCCAUACCUAACAAGGGAUUAGGGUUUUGGUGGAACCGAAGCAAUGGCCGCCGAUAAUGUAACUCUCGUUGGAAGGAUCUUUGUACAUCAGACCUCCAUGGACAGAGCGGCUUGUUGUGGCUGGUGAAGGGAGACGGUGAGCGAGCGAACAUGAUAGAUCCUAUGAGAGGAAAGUUGCCGGUUUGGACCUUCGACCAUUGAUGAUGGAAUGAGACGCAAUGGAGUGACUAUGAGGAGAGGCCAGGCGAGCGGACGACGGGUUGAGCUACACGACGGGAGGAGAGACAGUCCAACACUCCGUACUGGUGAUGUUGAGUGGAAGCAUGGCGGGGUGGUUCUUUUGAUACCAGCGCCUUACGGAGGGGAGGGACCAUCAGAAAGCUCAUAUAUUCGUAGAGGAGAGUGAGUCAAAUGUCUCGCUGGUGAAGCGUAGAUCCGUAGGACCGCGAUUUAACUUUCUCGAUUUGGGAUGCAUAGUCGAAGGUACGCAGGUUGACGAAGCAAGAACUUGAUGUUGGAGGGUCACGACGGUUGUAGGUGGUGAUAAGCAGGGCUGAGGAUAUGGAGCUUCUCUUCUCAGCAAGAAGCGCUCUCAGCGGAUGAACACCGGAGUGAGUGGAGCAGAGAGCAGAGAUGGCGACAUAGCACACUAUGAAACACAAAACGAAGUUGCAGAGUGAGUUGGAAGAGAACGAAAGAGGAGGCUGAAGGGUCAGCGCUGGCGGCCAGAGGCACCUCCGGCGUCGAGGAGAGUGAGCAUUUGUAUUUUCUCGAUUAUUGUGCAUGGGAGCGUCUCAGCGUGUAAGCGGUUUGUUAUAAGAUGCAGAAAGAUUAUGCCUAUAUAGAGCAUUAUUGAAAGACUAAUAGCUCAUAGAGCUUUAUUGAGUGACUAGUAAACUAAAGGGAGGAAUAAGAUUAACUUGGCUGAACGAACUAAAAGACAGGAUUGUAUUUCAUCCAAAAUGAGCAAAGAAGAGGCUGCAACUGUGCAGCCAAAGUUACAAAGCUAAAGGCAUAACAUCAAUACUUAUAGGACGCUAUUUGUAAGGGGAACCCUAAACACAUGGGCUUAGGACAUUAUAUUGGGCUUGAUGACUUGGCUUUGGGCUUGUCUAUAAUACCAUUAUAGUACCACUUCAAAAAGUUGAAGCAAACUGAAAUAGUUUCAACCAUAACUAUAUAAUGCUUUACAUUAGUUUAUGUGCCUAUGACAGAUGAAACGUCAUUUCAUGGGAAAUCUCCACUGCGCUUGUUUCUCUCCCUCACAAUCAGAUCUGGGAAGCCAAGGGCACACCGCCGGUCACCCCUUUUCCGGUUUGUCUCAGACUCCUGUGAGUUUUCUUAGUGGUGGCUCUGUUUGGAUAGCGUCGGUCUCCUCUGAGGGACGGCGAUGCUGGUUUUGUGCGGUUCGAGCUGUUGGAUUUUGUUCAUGAGUGAUGACGGCUAGGGUUUCCGCUGGCCAGAUCUUUGUUUCCGGGAGUGAUAUCAGGCGUAUCUCACUAAUCUACGACAUCUAACUCAGGUUUGUAGUGGUCUUCACUCACUUCUUCUCGGAUUGAAGGGUCUUGGCUCGGGUUUUUUGACGAAGUUUUAAGAGAUAUUUUGACGGCGCUGGUUGAUGGCAUUGUAAGGGUUGUCGUUUUCAGAUUUCAAUCGGGUCUUUAUCAUUUUGCUAUAUUCGGAUCAGUUCCUUGGAGGUGUUGAUGAGUUAGGCCACUGCGUGCAUCUCUCUAUUUAGAUCUACCAGUUGGUGUGGUAUUAGUUAUUGGUUUAAGGCUCUAGUAGGGAGUAGAGAGAAUGGGUCUCAGUCUUAUCAACUUUGAUCAUCAUUCCUCAUUGGCAGCGUGUUUCAGGUCUCAUGUCAUUGGAGUUUUUGCGGUAGGUUGUUAUUGACCUAUUUGGGCUUUAUGAGAUGCUGGAUGGAAGCAUCUCCUCUUUGUGAAUUCUCAUUGGUGUGGUGAGCGUAGUCAUCAUCCUCUGAAAAAAAUAAGAGCUUUAGUAACUGGCCAAGACAGAGGAGAUCUCUAGGUAGUACGUUUGGUCGGUGGGGAAAAAAUUGAACAAUCGUCUUGAUCUGAAUCAUGUGGUGGAUUUCCUCGGGGGAUUAUGCUCAGACCGGUCUGACUUCUCAUUUUGGGAUUUAUGGUUAAAUGGGUGUAACAGUCCCAGUUAGAUAAGUGAGACGUGGCAAUAUUUUUUUAUUCAUGCCGCCGGUGGGAGUUUCCUACUGGAUAAUUUGAAGCUUCCUGGUUGGGUUCUAUUUUCGGCUUCUUGGGGCUCGUCUGGAGGAAGUUGUAGGAGCCGAGAUAGUAAGAUUUGAGGGUGGUCCGAACAUCGGUAGCUCGCGGCAACUAGUGGUCAGUACUUAUAAGGUUCUGGUUUAUAGGUCUGUCCAUGUUACGCUAUGGUCACGUUGCUUUAAGUUUGCUACCUAGUUGUUUAAUUUUCUAUAGUUUUGUUGUGGUGUUUUUCUUUUUCUGCUUUUGUUACUGUUUAGAUUUUUGUACUUUUUCCGUUACUAGUUAGGCUUUAUCAUUUCUGUCAAAACUGAAAAUGGUAAUAGAUUUUAACA